UAAAAAGCUAAUGUCAAACCCUGGAGCGCACAUCAUUCUCUCUAACACACACACACACACACACACACACACACACACACACACACACACACACACACACACACACAGCUUACUAUUAAGUGUGCUGCAACAAGCCUUCCUGUGCUCUUCACAUGGACUGGACAGCAUGGAUUCCAACAUCAGAGUUUGGAUGGAGGAUCAGAUGUAUGCGGUAGUUCAUUUUACCGAGUCAAACGAGGUGGAGGUUGUGCCUUGCUCGUGGCUAAGUUUGGACGGCAAGGUGUCUUUUUGGCCACCGUAUAAAGACACCAAGCGGACGAAAAUUGCAGUCAUCCAAAGCGCUAUGCCAGAUGAGACCUGGGGAGAGUUUUUUGUGGAGGUGGUGAAAACCUUUGCCAAUUAUGAUGCAGCGCGUAUGAACCUGAAAAAAGCCCAAACCAGGAGCACCCUGACAUCAGAUGAUGAAGGGGGUAAAAGAAGGAGAAUCCCUUCCUCAAAGCUGAAAGAAACUGUGCCUGCA
ensembl:lncRNA